AUCGCUUCUCGGCCUUUUGGCUAAGAUCAAGUGUAUUAUCUGUUCUUAUCAGUUUAAUAUCUGAUAUGUCCCCCAUCGGGGGACUAUACAUAUUACAUGGAUUUUUCGAACAGGGAGUCGGAAGCGGGCUUGCUCCGUCCGCUCCACGCAUCGACUCGGUAUGCAGUACCUCCGAGAACGGUGCACCUCUG
rnacentral:snRNA from 1 species